AUCUUUCUAGUAUAAAGUUAGUAUAAAUGACUUCCAAUCAUUUGGUUUUGGUUAAAGCCCGAAGAAAGAUA
rnacentral:tRNA from 1 species